rnacentral:lncRNA from 1 species
AGAAAAAUAUUGAUGUUCGGGGGUUUGGCUAAGAGCGGUCCCCUUCGGUUCCGCUCCAGUGACGUGUUUACUAUGGAUCUAAGUGAGGAGGAACCUUGUUGGAGAUGUGUAACAGGGAGUGGAAUGCCUGGUGCUGGAAACCCUAGCGGCAUAGCUCCUCCACCUAGACUUGAUCAUGUAGCUGUGAGCCUUCCUGGUGGUAGAAUCCUGAUCUUUGGUGGCUCUGUUGCAGGUCUUCACUCUGCCUCGCAGCUUUAUCUCCUUGAUCCUACUGACGAGAAACCUACAUGGAGGAUUCUAAAUGUACCCGGGC